rnacentral:rRNA from 1 species
AUUGAACGCUGGCGGCAGGCCUAACACAUGCAAGUCGAACGAGUGGCGGACGGGUGAGUAAUGUCUGGGAAACUGCCCGAUGGAGGGGGAUAACUACUGGAACCGGUAGCUAAUACCGCAUACCAUCGGAUGUGCCCAGAUGGGAUUAGCUAGUACGUGGGGUAACGGCUCACCUAGGCGACGAUCCCUAGCUGGUCUGAGAGGGUGACCAGCCCCACUGGAACUGAGACACGGUCCAGACUCCUACGGGAGGCAGCGGGGGGGAAUAAUGCGCAAUGGGGGCAACCCUGACGCAGCAAUGCCGCGUGAAUGAAGAAGGCCUUCGGGUUGUAAAGUUCUUUCGGUAGCGAGGCGUUAACUACAGAAGAAGCACCGGCUAACUCCGUGCCAGCCGCCGCGGUAAUUC